GGGGCUAUCGCCAAGCGGUAAGGCACAGGCCUUUGACGCCUGCAUUCGUUGGUUCGAAUCCAACUGGCCCUG
rnacentral:tRNA from 5 species